UACAGAAGUCCCAAGCGUUGUUCGGAUUCACUGGGCGUAAAGAGCUCGUAGGCGGUUUGUUGCGUCGGCUGUGAAAUCCCGAGGCUCAACCUCGGGUCUGCAGUCGAUACGAGCAAACUAGAGUGUUGCAGGGGAGACUGGAAUUCCUGGUGUAGCGGUGAAAUGCGCAGAUAUCAGGAGGAACACCGGUGGCGAAGGCGGGUCUCUGGGCAACAACUGACGCUGAGGAGCGAAAGCGUGGGGAGCGAACAGG
rnacentral:rRNA from 1 species